rnacentral:rRNA from 1 species
GGGGAAUAACGCAUCGAAAGAUGUGCUAAUACCGCAUAUCUCUGAGGAGAAAAGCAGGGGAUCGAAAGACCUUGCGCUAAAGGAGCGGCCGAUGUCUGAUUAGCUAGUUGGUGGGGUAAAGGCUUACCAAGGCAACGAUCAGUAGUUGGUCUGAGAGGACGGCCAACCACACUGGGACUGAGACACGGCCCAGACUCCUACGGGAGGCAGCAGUGGGGAAUUUUGGACAAUGGGCGAAAGCCUGAUCCAGCCAUGCCGCGUGAGUGAAGAAGGCCUUCGGGUUGUAAAGCUCUUUUAGUCGGAAAGAAAGAGUCGCAAUGAAUAAUUGUGAUUUAUGACGGUACCG